rnacentral:rRNA from 1 species
AAGGAACGUUGAAGACGACGACGUUGAUAGGCCGGGUGGGUAAGCGCCGCGAUGCGUGGAGCUAACCGGUACUAAUCACCCGUUAGGCUUAACCUUACAACGCCGAAGCUGUU